rnacentral:rRNA from 1 species
UACGUAGGCAGCGAGCGUUGUUCGGAGUUACUGGGCGUAAAGGGUGUGUAGGCGGUUUUCUAAGUUUGGUGUGAAAUCUCCCGGCUUAACUGGGAGGGUGCGCUAUAAACUGCGGGACUAGAGUGUGGGAGAGGAAAGUGGAAUUCCUGGUGUAGCGGUGAAAUGCGUAGGUAUCAGGAGGAACACCGGUGGUGUAAACGGCUUUCUGGACCAUAACUGACGCUGAGGCACGAAAGCGUGGGUAGCAAACAGG